GACCAAGUACUCCUACGGGAGGCAGCAGUGGGGAAUAUUGCACAAUGGGCGCAAGCCUGAUGCAGCGACGCCGCGUGCGGGAUGACGGCCUUCGGGUUGUAAACCGCUUUUGAUCGGGAGCAAGCCUUCGGGUGAGUGUACCUUUCGAAUAAGCACCGGCUAACUACGUGCCAGCAGCCGCGGUAAUACGUAGGGUGCAAGCGUUAUCCGGAAUUAUUGGGCGUAAAGGGCUCGUAGGCGGUUCGUCGCGUCCGGUGUGAAAGUCCAUCGCUUAACGGUGGAUCUGCGCCGGGUACGGGCGGGCUGGAGUGCGGUAGGGGAGACUGGAAUUCCCGGUGUAACGGUGGAAUGUGUAGAUAUCGGGAAGAACACCAAUGGCGAAGGCAGGUCUCUGGGCCGUUACUGACGCUGAGGAGCGAAAGCGUGGGGAGCGAACAGGAUUAGAUACCCUGGUAGUCCACGCCGUAAACGGUGGAUGCUGGAUGUGGGGCCCGUUCCACGGGUUCCGUGUCGGAGCUAACGCGUUAAGCAUCCCGCCUGGGGAGUACGGCCGCAAGGCUAAAACUCAAAGAAAUUGACGGGGGCCCGCACAAGCGGCGGAGCAUGCGGAUUAAUUCGAUGCAACGCGAAGAACCUUACCUGGGCUUGACAUGUUCCCGACCGCGGCAGAGAUGUCGUUUCCCUUCGGGGCGGGUUCACAGGUGGUGCAUGGUCGUCGUCAGCUCGUGUCGUGAGAUGUUGGGUUAAGUCCCGCAACGAGCGCAACCCUCGCCCUGUGUUGCCAGCACGUCAUGGUGGGAACUCACGGGGGACCGCCGGGGUCAACUCGGAGGAAGGUGGGGAUGACGUCAGAUCAUCAUGCCCCUUACGUCCAGGGCUUCACGCAU
rnacentral:rRNA from 1 species